ACUGAACUUUUAAGGAGGGGGUUUGCUGCUGGCCCUUCCAAGGGGCAUCUGUGCACACCCCUCCCUCAAAAUUCCUCCUUAUACACCUGUGCAACCUCCUGCAGGCUUGGGGGAAACCUUAGGCCUGCAUCUUGCUUCACACACAACUGUACAUAUUUGUCGAGUGAAUGCUUGUUGGCUCUCUGAGCCAUAAACAUAAUCAAUA
rnacentral:misc_RNA from 1 species